GUAUCAUAGCCGUUUGUGCAGGUUUCAUCGCUAGAGGAGGGGCGGCGCCGACAAAAGGCGCUUGCGACUUCAAAGCCUGUUAGGAGGAUCAAAGAACCGGUUCAUAGAUAAUACAGGUCGGAUCAAACCUUUAUCGGAGCUAAAUCCGGCCGGUGCAACGUGUCCAAGUGUGUCCGGGUGCCCGGAUUACCCGGCUAUGACCGGAUGUGCGUUCGUGCCGUCGCACUCGCCCCAGCGAUUAGGCCCACUGCCCUUCUUGUUGGGAUAUUCGUUUGGGGUCAUGCCCGGAUAUUUCGAAAUAGAUAAAAAAUAUUGGAGAACUAUGGACUUAUCAAGCAAGCGCCAGCUAGUGCCACUUCGGUCGCAGUAUCGGUCCAACGAAGCUGCCAACAUGAAUGUUCCUGUGAAGAGACCAAUACUUACCAAGCAUUCUUUCAAACCAAGUCAUAAAGGAUUUUUUGAAAGUUGUAACAUUUGUUAUACCACUGAUUUCUCUUACAACUUUUUAAAUUUAAUAAUAUAAUGGUUGAAUAUUACAAUAAAUGUAUUAAAUAA